GCGAGAGUAGCUCAGUUGGUAGAGCGUCAGCCUUCCAAGCUGAAUGUCGCCGGUCCGAACCCGGUCUCUCGCU
rnacentral:tRNA from 1 species